rnacentral:rRNA from 1 species
UGGGGAAUAUUGCACAAUGGGCGCAAGCCUGAUGCAGCCAUGCCGCGUGUGUGAAGAAGGCCUUCGGGUUGUAAAGCACUUUCAGCGAGGAGGAAGGUGGUGAACUUAAUACGUUCAUCAAUUGACGUUACUCGCAGAAGAAGCACCGGCUAACUCCGUGCCAGCAGCCGCGGUAAUACGGAGGGUGCAAGCGUUAAUCGGAAUUACUGGGCGUAAAGCGCACGCAGGCGGUUUGUUAAGUCAGAUGUGAAAUCCCCGGGCUCAACCUGGGAACUGCAUUUGAAACUGGCAAGCUAGAGUCUCGUAGAGGGGGGUAGAAUUCCAGGUGUAGCGGUGAAAUGCGUAGAGAUCUGGAGGAAUACCGGUGGCGAAGGCGGCCCCCUGGACGAAGACUGACGCUCAGGUGCGAAAGCGUGGGGAGCAAACAGAUUAGAUACCCUGGUAGUCCACGCUGUAAAACGAUGUCGAUUUUGGAGGUUGUGCCCUUGAGGCGUGGNUUCCGGAGCUAACGCGUUAAAUCGACCGCCUGGGGAGUACGGCCGCAAGGUUAAAACU